CAAGAACCCUCCUCUUCGGUAACGCCGCACAUGCGCGAUCUCACGUAGACGGCUGCGUCGUUUGUUUUCGCCGAAGGUACCGCCUGCUCGCACGUUUUCUUCCAUUUCGUUUGCUCAACCGUCAACUCUACCGCCAUGAACUCUGACGAGUCGUCAGCGUUUAGCUACGUGCUGGAACUGCUGCUCUCGCCGCUAGAGGAACCUUUUCGCCGGUAUCUGGACAUCUGCGAGGAUGUGCACAUGCGCGACGCGAGUCGUAAUACAAUGCUUCACUGGGCCGCCACUGUCGGCAACGUCGCUGCCGCGUAUGCGCUACUUCAGCAUGGCGUCGAGGUGGAUGCCCGCAACGUGUACGGCGCGACGCCGCUGCACUUGGCCGCCGCCUUUGCGCCAAACAUGGGUGUGAUGGGCCCUCUCUUGAUGCAGCAUGGUGCAUCGUUGACAGCAUCACUUAGCUCCCGGAAUGCGACCGGGGUGGAGUCCCUAUUGGCGUCGAGGGGCUUGAAAGCAGUUUGGACAUGGAUGUUUGAGCUGAGUGCAUUGCUUCAGCAGAAUGAUGACAGCAGUCCCUUGCUGUUCCGGUUUGCUGGUUCAUCGACCCUCCCCUCUGCUGCGUCAAUCAGGACCAUAACGCCACUGCUCUGUGCGCCGGAAGAAUUACAGCAACUGGGCCAAGGCCGCCGAAGCAGUAUGCAGCGGCGAUGCGCAGCAGCAGGCAUGCGCGCGGUGCCGAUCCCACGCGCUCCAGCUAGGCGGUUGACUCCGCGUGGUGGUGGCGGCCACCUGCUCCUGCAGAAGCGGCCGGCGCAACUGGCCUUGUCACACGCCGCAGCAGUGGAAGCCUCGUCGUCUGCUACCGCCGCCUCCGCUGCGUUCCUCCGCAGCGCGACGGCGGAAAGGGAAGCUGCUGUCGCGCUCUUUGCCUCUCGUGAGGCGGCGGGACGCAUCCAGCUGGAAAAGGAGCAGGUGGAAGCACGUCUGGAGAUUUACGUGGAGCUGUGUGCUCCACUCUGGUCUUCGUAUACCUGCGACGCAGGGGACGAGGUGGAUGUCGACUCGAAGAUGCCUGCCUCGUCGUCUUGGUGGGGCACUGCGGGCGCGGUGGGGAGCCCCGAAGGCGAUGAUACUUACGCCGGCUUAGUCGGGCUCGUCGUUGCGGUGCUUGGCGAAAAGUUCGACGUGAAGGGCGGCCGCCAACUCUUUGUUCAGUACAACGAGCCUGCCGGCGUGGACGGCGCCCAUGUCGCUGAAGUUUGGUGUCCCUUCAGCUCCGUGGCUCGUGACCCCGUGGUGGUCGCCUACAUCGACCGCUACAGCCGCACCUACGGGCUAACAAACUCCGUAAGCGUGAAGGCUGAUGCGACCCCGUCGAUCCUGAACGGCGACGUUGGCUCCGGAAGCCCCCUCGACACCAUGGAACGAGAGCAGCUCGAGGAGCAACUGCGGAUGCUGCCCCGCAGAGACUUGUCCAGCCCAGAGAGCGCAGUGUCGCUGAAUGCCUCCACCAAGCAGCUCAUCCCGGUCGCGGCGAGUGAACUAAAAUCGCCGGAUGAGUUUUACUCAGUGAGGGAUGAGUCGACACCACCCGUGUCGAGGUCCCCGAACCCCGCGACGCUGACGGGCGAACUCGCGUCGCCACACCCGCGCCCGUGGUGGGACGAAAAGGAUGGUGACACGUGGCAUGUUGCGCAAGCCCAGAUGCAAGAGAUUAGCCCUGUGCAGGGGGUUUGGCCGGCCACGGCACCAGCAGUGUCACCGGAGCUGAUGCCCCCUCAGACAGGCGCGGAGGCGGCGCAGGAGACGGCCGCGAGUGCAGUAACGGACCACGCGGUUGUGGGUGAGCGUUCGCAGCCCGGUCGAGAUGACGCUUGUGCUCACCUGUGCCAGCACUCCUCGCUGGACAUGAACAGAGCCGUAUCAGGCGCCUCCUCGACGGUGCAUACGCAGCCUCAGGUCAGUUCUCUACGCGACAGCGCCAGCGGGAUUCUAGAAAAGGAUGAGCGUUACCAUUUGUCAGAGACACAAAAGACCAAGUACAACAGGUUCCUGCGCGACUCGGCGUUGCAGCGACUGCACAAACGCCAGGGGCGGCUCUUUGCUGGCGCUUCUGGUGGCUAACACGCGGCGGACAGAGGAGCUGGCACACACACUAACAGAAGCCCAAGGCACUUGCGCUGACUUUGAUUCGUGCCAUUGCCCAUACGAACCUCACCAGCUAUCAAAACAUUUUGCUGUUCUAUGUGAAGCAUAUUCCUUGUUUUCUGUUGUAUCCCCCAAAGGCCACUCCCUGUUGUUGUCGUUUUUCGUUUUCGCCGUCCUCUCUGUUCCCUCACCUCCACGCAAUGUCGAAUUUGAUGUACAGAUUACACCCCUCAGUUCUCUUUAAGACCCCUUCCGCUUUUCAUUGCUCGCGGUGCGUAGGCCGCCACGCAUAGAUCCCAUCUCUCCGCCUCUGUCUGUCUAUCUGUAUGUAUAUGUGUCGUUAUGAUGUUUUUGUAAUUUGGUCGUCUCUUACAUAUAUUUUUUUUGCGUUUGCUCUGUUUCACUUCUGCGUCAUCCUCUUCCCCGUCUUCCACUCCUUCUAUCCCCCCCCCCACUCACAAGGACACACAUACGGCCACGAAACUCGCCAAGCAGUGGGGAGGGGUGGGGGGCUGUGAAGGUCAAAACAAAGAAAAAAGUAAAGGGGGCGUUGAUUUUUGCCAUUCGGGCAGCGGUAACAAGAAAGGGGCGAAGGUGAACAACGUUCGCCGCACGGCUGUCUCGCCAGCAUAGACAUGUGGGCUCCUCCGCGUCGAUAUCUCUGCUGGAGGCGUCAAGAGAAGUGCUGUACCUACCCCUUCCGGCGUAGGCUGAUGUGUGUUCUCUUUCUUGCGACGGCUUCUGCACCCGCAAAACGGUGCACGUCGAGCAGAGAACAGCCGCCCACGUCUCCUCUUUUCUUUGCAUCUCCCGCCCCCCGUCUCCCCCCGGCCCUCCUCCAAAUACGUACAG
rnacentral:misc_RNA from 1 species